rnacentral:tRNA from 1 species
GCUGGCGUAGCUUAAUUAAAGCAU